UGUGACUACACUUGAAACAUGCCCUUUAGGAAUACUUCAUGAAAUUAAGAAAAGUAUUCAUGAGUUGAAGAAUUUAUCACAUCCGGGAAAUCUGUUGACUCCAAACGUGAUUGGGGGUGUAAACUGCAU